AUUGAACGCUGGCGGCGUGCCUAACACAUGCAAGUCGAGCGGUAACAGGUGUAGCAAUACAUGCUGACGAGCGGCGAACGGGUGAGUAAUGCUUCGGAAUCUGCCCAUGUAGUGGGAAUAACCAGCCGAAAGGUUGGCUAAUACCGCAUACGACCCUUGCCCACAAGGCAAAGGUGAAAGCAGGGGAUCGCAAGACCUUGCGCUAUUGGAUGAGCCGAAGUCGGAUUAGCUAGUUGGUAGGGUAACGGCCUACCAAGGCGACGAUCCGUAGCUGGUCUGAGAGGACGACCAGCCACACUGGGACUGGAGACACGGCCCAGACUCCUAC
rnacentral:rRNA from 1 species